rnacentral:rRNA from 1 species
GACAAACGCUGGCGGCAUGCCUAACACAUGCAAGUCGAACGGACAGAACAGGGAAGCUUUUCGGAGUGGAACUGGAAAGUUAGUGGCGGAUGGGUGAGUAACGCGUGGACAACCUACCUUGUAAAGGGGAAUAACCUCAAGAAAUCGAAGCUAAUACCCCAUAAUAACCUUGCUUCGCAUGAAGUAAGGAGGAAAGGCGGCCUUAGCGCUGUCGAUACAAGAUGGGUCCGCGUCUGAUUAGCUAGUUGGUGAGGUAAAGGCUCACCAAGGCGACGAUCAGUAGCCGGCCUGAGAGGGUGAACGGCCACAUUGGGACUGAGACACGGCCCAAACUCCUACGGGAGGCAGCAGUGGGGAAUCUUCCGCAAUGGGCGAAAGCCUGACGGAGCAAUGCCGCGUGAGUGAAGAAGGCCUUCGGGUUGUAAAACUCUGUCCUUAUCGAAGAGAGAGUGUUGUAGUAACUGACAAUACUAGGACGGUAGAUGAGGAGGAAGCCCCGGCUAACUAUGUG